rnacentral:lncRNA from 1 species
GGGUGGGGAGAGGUGAAUAUAAUGUAGUUUAAAAUUAUUGUGUGUAGUACAAUAGAGAGUACUGGCUACAGUAUCAAAGGCUGGGGUGCUAUGCAUAGGUGUUGGGCCUGGAGAAGAUUUUUAAAAAAAGAUGAUAGAGUUUAUCCAUAGAACUCACCUACUACACCUCAGGAUUUAGGGUCGCUUGCAUUGCACACUGUAUUUUAGAUGACAUUCAUUUGAAAGAUUUGGUUAUGGAUGUUUUGUAACAAAGCCAGAUUAGAAAAGAAAAUAAAAAAAUCUCUU